rnacentral:rRNA from 1 species
UACGUAGGGAGCAAGCGUUGUCCGGAAUCAUUGGGCGUAAAGCGCGCGUAGGUGGCUUCGUAAGUCCGUUGUGAAAGUCAAAGGCUCAACCUUUGAAUGCCGAUGGAUACUGCGGAGCUAGAGUACGGAAGAGGCGAGUGGAAUUCCUGGUGUAGCGGUGGAAUGCGCAGAUAUCAGGAGGAACACCAAUAGCGAAGGCAGCUCGCUGGGACGUUACUGACACUAAGGCGCGAAAGCGUGGGGAGCGAACGGG